CAUUUAUUUCAUUUUGCCUUAUAUUCAUGUAUAAACCUUGGUUUCCAUAUUUGGGCUGUUAGUAAAAUAAGACAAAAAUAAAACAAGGAAAAAUCAAUGUCAUGAAGAACUAAAACUAAGCCUAAAGCAUGAUGUUUAUCUAUUACUCAAUAGGCACUGUUAUUGGGCUACGAAUGUGAAUGUGCCAUGGUCCUCGUCCUCAGUAAGUUCCCUGUGUAAUAGUGGCAGCAGGUAAACUACAGAUCAACUAAAACUAAGCCUAAAGCGUGACGUUUAUCUACACUCAAUAGGCACCUGUUACUGGGCUACGAAUGUGAAUGUGCCAUGGUCCUCGUCCUCAGUAAGUUCCCUGUGUAAUAGUGGCAGCAGGUAAACUACAGAUCAACUAAAACUAAGCCUAAAGCGUGACGUUUAUCUACACUCAAUAGGCACCUGUUACUGGGCUACGAAUGUGAAUGUGCCAUGGUCCUCGUCCUCAGUAAGUUCCCUGUGUAAUAGUGGCAGCAGGUAAACUACAGAUCAACUAAAACUAAGCCUAAAGCAUGAUGUUUAUCUAUACAUUACUCAAUAGGCACUGUUAUUGGGCUACGAAUGUGAAUGUUGACAUGGUCCUUGUCCUCAGUAAGUUCCCUGUGUAAUAGUGGCGGCAGGUAAACUACAGAUCAACUAAAACUAAGCCUAAAGCAUGAUGUUUAUCUGCACUCAAUAGGCACUUGUUACUGGGCUAUGAAUGUGAAUGUGACAUGGUCCUCGUCCUCAGUAAGUUCCCUGUGUAAUAGUGGCAGCAGGUAAACUACAGAUCAACUAAAACUAAGCCUAAAGCAUGAUGUUUAUCUAUAUAUUACUCAAUAGGCACUGCUACUGGGCUACGAAGGUGAAUGUGCCAUGGUCCUCGUCCUCAGUAAGUUCCCUGUGUAAUAGUGGCGGCAGGUAAACUACAGAUCAACUAAAACUAAGCCUAAAGCAUGAUGUUUAUCUACACUCAAUGGGCACUUGUUACUUGGCUACGAAUGUGAAUGUGCCAUGGUCCUCGUCCUCAGUAAGUUCCCUGUGUAAUAGUGGCGGCAGGUAAACUACAGAUCAACUAAAACUAAGCCUAAAGCAUGAUGUUUAUCUACACUCAGUGGGCACUUGUUACUGGGCUACGAAUGUGAAUGUGACAUGGUCCUCGUCCUCAGUAAGUUCCCUGUGUAAUAGUGGCAGCAGGUAAACUACAGAUCAACUAAAACUAAGCCUAAAGCAUGAUGUUUAUCUACACUCAAUAGGCACUUGUUACUGGGCUACGAAUGUGAAUGUGCCAUGGUCCUCGUCCUCAGUAAGUUCCCUGUGUAAUAGUGGCGGCAGGUAAACUACAGGCAACUAAACUACAGGUCACUUUUCUCACAAAAGUGAGAAUACAGGUUCCUAGACUACAAGGGGGAAUGUUUAAGUUGGAUAGAUAAUUUAGAGCUGGCCCUUUAAGGGAUAAAGAUAAUUUAAAGGAUGGGUGGAGAAUUCUAGGCCGAGGGCCUAACAGAUAUUGAGUCCCUACAUUAAUCACUAUAAAAAUAAAUCAAAGGAGAUUGUUACAUGAACCUAUGCAGGUAAAUUCAGAUUUCUUCCCCCUGGUGGAUUUGCUCUGUUUGAGUUGAGGUAAUGAGAGCUAACAUUGAUUCAGUGCCUGCUAUGUUUUGCACUGUUAGGUACUUUACAUGUUAUCUCAUGUAAUACCUCUUUAAACCUCAUUUUACAACUAAAAUUAAAUGACAGCUAGCAGCUAGGAAAUGGCAAAGUUACGAUUCCAAGUCUGGACUGGUUGUCCACAAAAGCCCCUGCUCUUGCCAUAAUGAUGCCACUUCUUUCAAAGAAUUCAGAAUCUUCCUCACAGCUUUAAAAAUGCAUAGAUUCUGAAGCCUCUCACUCCCUUCCAAUUAGUUGCCUACCUAGAAAGUUACUUCCUCCACUUGAGCUCAUCACCCCUUCUUACCGUUCCUUUGGAUUACUGUAAUUUCUUUUUCUUUGACCUCACCUUUCGACGGAUGGAUUAGUGUAAUCUUUCCCAAAUUUGUUAAUCCGAAGAAUUCAAGAGCUUCUCAAAAUGCAGGUUCCCAGGCCAUGCUCCAGGACAUCGAUUCACAAUUGGAUCAAGGACUAGAAUCUGUGUUUUUAACAAGCAUUUGACUCAAGUGUAUCAAAUUGGAGGAGGCACUGAGUUGGUGGACUACUUUAAUUGAUCUACCCAUUUUCAGUCUCUUCUGCCAACCCAUUCGCUCCACUCCACUCCCAGUCCGUUUUUCCGUUUUGCCCUCAAGGUCCCUGAAGACUUCCAUAUCAUUUCGCAUUGUUUUAUUUGGGGUACUGUGCCGCAGUACCUGGGCCCACAGCAGGCGCGCAAUAUUUACUGACAAAUACAACCCAUGAGGUAGUUCCUAUUAUUACCCUUCAAUUUGAAAUUGAGAAUAAAACAGAAGUCGCCAAGUUGAGGUAGCUUGCGACAUCAGUAUUUCGUAUUUAAUCCAGAAAGCACUGCUUCAACGCCCAGUGCGUGCAAGGUUCCACUCUCGGGCCAGCGGUCCUCUCCCAAAGCCCGUUCUUCCUAAGUGUGCGGCCGCCAUCCAGGACACGCCACGCUCCUAAAAGGUCACCUGGAGCAUCUACCCACCACGCUCAAGAGGCAGACGGAGGAGCGCGCCCUUUUCUCCAAAAUGGCUGAGCAGGGUCACGUGGGCUCGGGGGCGGGGCCGGUGCGCUCGCCGGAGCCUGGCAGUGGGUCACGUGGCUCAGACGGGGGCAGUAGCUAUGGGGGCGUGGCCGUCACACGGCGCGAUCCGUGUGGGCAGCGGCUCUUCGGGGGCCACGCCCUCCGGGCCCUGGGGGCCUAGUGCGCGACGGUGGGGUGGAGCUAGCCUCGUGACCUUUUACCCCAACAUGGCUGCGCCCGUGGGACCGGUGAAGUUCUGGCGACCCGGUACAGAGGGGCCAGGUGUAAGCAUCUCUGAAGAGAGACAAAGUCUGGCUGAAAACUCUGGGACGACGGUUGUUUACAACCCUUAUGCUGCGCUUUCCAUAGAGCAGCAGAGGCAGAAGCUGCCGGUAUUCAAGCUUAGGAAUCAUAUUUUAUACUUGAUAGAAAAUUAUCAGACAGUGGUGAUUGUUGGUGAAACGGGAUGUGGGAAGAGCACACAGAUUCCUCAGUACCUUGCAGAAGCCGGCUGGACAGCUGAAGGAAGAGUGGUAGGAGUGACCCAGCCUCGAAGAGUGGCUGCUGUUACAGUUGCAGGGAGAGUAGCUGAAGAAAGGGGUGCAGUGCUGGGCCACGAGGUGGGCUACUGCAUCCGCUUUGAUGACUGCACCGACCAGCUGGCCACGAGAAUUAAGUUUCUUACUGAUGGAAUGCUGGUCAGGGAAAUGAUGGUUGAUCCGUUGUUAACAAAAUAUAGUGUCAUCAUGCUGGAUGAAGCCCACGAGAGGACCUUGUACACUGACAUUGCCAUUGGCUUGCUAAAAAAGAUUCAGAAAAAGCGAGGGGAUCUUCGAUUGAUUGUAGCUUCAGCCACUCUGGAUGCAGACAAAUUCCGGGAUUUCUUUAAUCAAAAUGAAACCAGUGAUCCAGCAAGGGAUACAUGUGUGAUCCUUACAGUGGAAGGGAGAACAUUUCCGGUGGAUAUCUUUUAUCUACAAAGUCCUGUUCCAGAUUAUAUCAAAUCAACUGUCGAAACUGUGGUGAAAAUUCACCAGACAGAGGGAGACGGAGACAUUUUAGCAUUUCUUACUGGCCAGGAAGAGGUAGAAACUGUUGUGUCGAUGCUCAUCGAGCAGGCUCGAGCACUAGCUCGCACUGGGAUGAAGAGACACCUCCGAGUUCUCCCCAUGUAUGCAGGACUGCCUUCCUUUGAGCAAAUGAAAGUGUUUGAAAGGGUGUCACGCAGUGUCAGAAAGGUGAUAGUGGCCACCAAUGUGGCAGAAACCUCUAUCACAAUCAGCGGCAUUGUGUAUGUGAUCGACUGUGGCUUUGUGAAACUCCGAGCCUACAAUCCCAGGACAGCUAUUGAAUGCUUGGUGGUGGUGCCAGUCUCCCAGGCAUCAGCUAAUCAGCGAGCAGGACGUGGUGGUCGUAGUCGCUCGGGAAAAUGUUAUCGCCUUUAUACAGAGGAAGCCUUUGACAAGUUGCCUCAGUCUACGGUUCCUGAGAUGCAGCGUAGUAAUUUGGCACCUGUCAUCCUGCAGCUGAAAGCACUAGGAAUUGACAAUGUCCUCAGGUUCCACUUCAUGUCGCCCCCUCCAGCACAGUCGAUGGUUCAAGCCUUGGAGUUACUGUAUGCUCUGGGAGGUCUGGACAAAGACUGUCGCCUGACUGAACCGCUUGGCAUGAGAAUUGCAGAGUUUCCUUUGAAUCCCAUGUUUGCCAAAAUGCUGCUUGAAUCAGGAAACUUCGGCUGUUCUCAGGAAAUUCUAAGCAUCGCUGCCAUGAUGCAGAUCCAGAAUAUCUUUGUGGUCCCCCCAAACCAGAAGUCUCAGGCAAUUCGAGUGCACCGUAAAUUUGCUGUGGAGGAGGGCGACCACCUCACUAUGCUCAAUAUAUAUGAAGCAUUUAUCAAACACAAUAAGAACUCUCAAUGGUGUCAGGAACAUUUCCUGAAUUACAAGGGUCUUGUCAGAGCUGCGACUGUAAGAGAACAAUUGAAAAAGCUUCUUGUCAAGUUUCAAGUGCCCAAGAAGUCUAGUGAAGGUGACCCGGAUCCGGUUCUGAGGUGCAUUGUCUCCGGCUUCUUCGCCAAUGCAGCGAGGUUUCAUUCUACUGGAGCUUAUAGGACCAUCCGUGAUGACCAUGAGCUGCACAUACACCCUGCGUCAGUCCUCUAUGCAGAGAAGCCGCCUCGCUGGGUCAUCUAUAACGAAGUUAUACAGACCUCCAAGUACUACAUGAGAGAUGUGACUGCCAUUGAAUCGGCCUGGCUGUUGGAGCUGGCUCCACACUUCUAUCAACAAGGAACGCACCUGUCUCUGAAAGCCAAAAGGGCCAAGGUCCAGGACCAGUGAGAGGAGCCCACAGCUACAGCUGCAGGGAGUGCUGGCGUCCUCUCCUCCAUGCUGCUGCCCCUGGUCCCAGACUGAAGCUGAAACAUUGGCUCUUCUGGGUCUCUGGCUUGCUGACUCACCCUGUAGAUCUUGGGACUUGUCAGCCUCCAUAAUUAUAAACCUGGGAUGACUAUGCCACACCCUGACGUUACAGCAUCUUGUUUUAUCUUCCUGAGAGUGCCACCAGCAAUGCCACCCCCAAGGGUAGCUGUUUCAGGUGUGGACCCUAACACUGGAUUCGUGUACCCAGCUCUGAUGCUGUCAUCCCUCUUGUGGAGUAUACAUUUUAUCCAUUGCUAAAGACACAAUGCAAAGAUGCCAAGAUUGAGAACCUGCAAGAGGGUCAUGUUGCUGAGAACCUGAAAGAGGGUCGUGCUGCUGAGACAGUGCAUAAGGAUGCUCCAGCAGACCUCCCAAUGUGCAAUGAAAGUGUCAAGGCAUCUUUAAAAAGUGCUGCUGGGUUAGGGUCUCCCCUACUGAGCUGGUCUCGGCAAGUGGCUCCAUUCAUGAGGACUCGAAUCCAGGUCAAAGGGUUGCCAGAGCGAUGGUUGGAACAGAAAACUAGCUGGAGGACACCUGAGUACUCUUAAAGCAAUCCCUGUGGUGAGUAGGAAGGGGAGCUCAGAAGCAUUAGGGUAACAAUGGGACAGGUGUGGGGUCUGGUUCAUUUCACCUUGGAUCUUUUUCACACUGAUGAUGAGGAGGAACGAGAGUACAGUGAAGUAAUAGAAGAGGUUACAGAGCAUGUUUAUUUGCCAGCUAAAGCUAAAGCAGCAAAGGAGGGAGAGGUUCAUCCCUACCCUUCUGCACCCCCUCAUCAUUAUUUUGAAGAAAAAGACCCUCCAGAUCUUUCUUUUCCAGAGGACACUGGGCAAAAAGUAGUUGUCCCAGUGACUGUUUAAGCAGCACCUCAAGGGACCGCUCUUAGCUCUAUUCAGGCAGGAAUUCAGCAAGCUAGAUGAGAGGGUUAUUUACAGGCUUGGCAGUUCCCUGUUAGAAUACACCCCCCAGAUCAAAAGGGAAAUAUUAUAGCUACAUUUGAGCCUUUUCCUUUUAAAUUACUCAAAGAAUUUAAACAAGCUAUAAAUCAGUAUGGACCAGGUUCUCCUUUUGUAAUGGGACUGUUAAAGAAUGUUGCUGUUUCCAGUCGGAUGAUUCCUACUGACUGGGACGCUCUUACUCGAGCUUGUCUAACUCCUGCUCCGUUCUUACAAUUAAAGUAUAAAAAAAAAAAAAAAAACUUGGUGGGGAGAUGAAGCUUCCAUUCAGGCUGCUUGCAAUGCCCAGGCCUAACCUCAAAUUAAUGUAACUGCAGACCAACUUUUUGGGGUUGGCAGAUGGGCUGGUUUAGAUGCACAACUGGUCAUGCAGGAUGAUGCCGUGGAACAGCUUAGAGGAGUGUGCAUUAGAGCUUGGGAAAAAAUCACUUCAGGUGGAGAACAAUACCCUUCCUUUAGUGCUAUAAAACAGGGACCAAAAGAACCAUACAUUGAUUUUAUAGCUCGGUUACAGGAGUCUCUUAAAAAGAUGAUUGCAGAUUCGGCUGCUCAGGAUAUAGUGUUGCAGUUAUUAGCUUUCGACAAUGCUAAUCCCGAUUGCCAGGCUGCUCUGCGACCUAUCAGAGGGAAAGCACAUUUAGUUGAUUGUAUCAAGGCCUGUGAUGAUAUCGGAGGUAAUCUGCAUAAAGCUACUCUGCUAGUACAGGCCAUAGCAGGACUGAGAGUGGAUAAAGGAAAUACUCCAUUUCCUGGAGCUUGUUUUAACUGUGGGAAGCAUGGUCAUACUAAAAAAGAAUGUAGAAAAAUUCUGCGAGUCAGCCCACCAGAUAGGGGAAAAAAAAGAAAACUGUUGAGCCUGAAAUAUGUCCAAAAUGUAAAAAAGGAAAACACUGGGCUAGUCAGUGUCACUCUAAGUUUGAUAAAGAUGGGAACCCGAUUUCAGGAAAUGCCACGAGGGGCCUGUCCCGGGCCCCAUUCUAAACUGGGACAUUUCCAGCUCAGGCCAUUCCCUCACCCCUGUACAAUGUCUGUCCCCCACCACAGCCAGUAGUGCCGCAGUAGAUUUAUGCUGCACAAAAGCUGUGAGCCUUCUGCCUGGGGAACCCCCGCAAAAGGUCCCAACAGGAGUCUGUGGAUCCUUGCCAGCAGGGACAAUAGGAUUACUUUUAGGAAAGUCUAGUUUAAGUUUAAAAGGCAUACAAAUACAUACAGGAGUCAUUGAUUCAGAUUAUAAUGGGGAAAUUCAAAUUGUUAUAUCUACUUCUGUUCCCUGGAAAGCAGAGCCAGGAGAGCGCAUAGCACAGCUCCUGACUGUGCCAUGUGUGGGAAUAGGAAAAAGUGAAAUUAAAUGAACAAGAGGAUUUGGAAGCACAAAUAAACAAGGCAAAGCAGCUUAUUGGGUAAAUCAAAUUACUGAUAAACGUCUUACCUGUGACAUAACUAUGCAGGGAAAGAAAUUUAAAGAUUUGGUAGAUACAGGAGUGGACAUUUCAAUCAUUUCUCUACAGCACUGGCCAUCCACGUGGCCAAUUCAACCUGCUCAAUUUAACAUGGUUGGAAUUGGUAAAGCCUCUGAAGUGGGAUCAAAGUAGUUAUAUUUUGCAUUGCGAAGGGCCCGAUGGGCAAUCUGGGACUAUUCAACCAAUUAUAACUUCUGUACCUAUAAAUUUAUGGGGAAGAGAUUUAUUACAACAAUGGGGAGCACAAGUUCUAAUUCCAGAACAAUUAUAUAGCCCUCAAAGUCAACAUACAAUGCAUGAAAUGGGGUAUGUCCCUGUUAUGGGACUAGAAAAAAUUUGCAAGGUUUAAAAAGUUCAUGCCAAAGAUUAGGAUAUCAUUUUUGAUGGCAGCCAUUGUUAAGCCUCCAGAACCUAUACCUUUAAAAUGGUUAACAGAUAAGCUAAUUUGGAUAGAACAAUGGCCGCUAAGUAAAUAGAAACUGGAGGCUUUAGGUAAAUUAGUUACUGAACAAUCAGAAAAUGGGCACAUAGCUCCAGCAUUUUCCCCUUGGAAUUCUCCAGUUUCUGUAAUUAAGAAAAAAAUCAGGUAAAUGGAGAAUGUUAACUGACCUAAGAGCCAUCAGUUCAGUUAUACAACCUAUGGGAGUAUUACAGCCAGGAUUGCCUUCUCCUGCUAUAAUUCCAAAAAAUUGGCCUUUAAUAGUCAUAGAUUUAAAAGACUGUUUCUUUACUAUCCCUUUAGCUGAGCAAAAUUGUAAAUGGUUUGCAUUUACAAUUCCUGCAGUAAACAACCUGCAGCCUGCUAAGCGUUUUCAUUGUUUUACAGAUGGGUCUAGUAAUGGUAAAGCUUCUUAUUUUGGCUCAAAAAGUAAAAUUUUCCAGACAUCCUAUACUUCAGCUCAAAAAGCGGAGCUUGUAGCGGUAAUUGAGGUAGUGACUGCUUUUGAUAUGCCUAUUAAUGUGAUUUCUGAUUCUUCAUACAUGGUUUAUUCCACACAGUUAAUUGAAAAUGCUCAGUUAUGAUUUCAUACAGAUGAACAACUGAUGACUUUAUUUACGCAAUUGCAAACAGCAGUUAGGAGUACAAUGCAUCCUUUUUACAUCACUCACAUUAGGGCUCAUACACCUCUUCCAGGACCUUUGACUGAAGGUAAUCAAAUGGCCGAUCGCCUAGUUGCUAAUGCAAUAUCUAAUGCUAGACACUUUCACAGCUUAACCCAUGUUAAUGCCUCUGGUCUCAAACGCAGAUACAGCAUUACCUGGAAAGAAGAUAAAGCUAUUAUCCAGUGAUGCCCAACUUGCCAAAUGGUACAUUCCUCAUCCUUUACAGGAGGAGUUAAUCCUCAAGGAUUGGAACCUAACUGUCUUUGGCAAAUGGAUGUCACACAUGUUCCUUCAUUUGGGAGACUAGCUUAUGUACAUGUAUGUGUGGACACCUUUUCUCACUUUGUCUGGUCUACAUGCCAAACAGGAGAGUCUUCUGCCGGUGUUAAACAUCACCUUUUGCAGUGUUUUGCGGUGAAGGGCAUUCCAGCUUCUAUUAAAACAGAUGAUGCCCCAGGUUAUGCUAGCCAAGCCCUAGCUAAAUUUUUCUCUAUGUAGAAUAUUAAACACAUUACUGGUAUCCCAUACAAUUCUCAAGGACCAGCCAUAGUAGAAAGAGUGAAUCUCUCCCUAAAACAGCAGUUGCAAAAGCAGAAAAGGGGAGACAGAGAGUAUGGGACCCCACAGAUGCAAUUGAACCUAGCAUUAUUAACUUUAAAUUUUUUGAGCCUGCCCAAAGGAUAGAUGUUAUCAGCAGCUGAACAGCAUCUACAGAAACCAGCUGCAAAGACAGAAGCAGAACAACUGAUUUGGUGGAGAGCUCCGAUUACAAAAACUUGGGAAAUAGGUAAAAUAAUAACUUGGGGUAGAGGUUAUGCUUGUAUUUCUCCAGGCAAAAAUCAACAGCCAAUUUGGAUACCAUCAAGACACCUGAAACCUUAUUAAGAGCCAGAUAGAUGCCAAGGAAGAGAUUCCGGGAGGAUCCUGAGGACUCCCCGGUUGCAGCCAUGUCGAGACUGAUGCUGAGGAGGACCCCAACUGUCACAAACAACACCUGUCAAACACAGCCACCCAUCUGGGGACAGAUCAAGAAGCUGCCACAGAUGGUGGAAGAAAACCUGAGGAAAGCGGGACAACCAGUCACAACGAGUAAUUUAAUGGUAGCUAUGAUAGCAGUUAUCACCACUGCUGUGAGUAUUCCUGCAAUAAGGACUGACACAGAGAAAAAUUAUACUUAUUGGGUAUAUUUAUCAAUCUUGGCUGGCAAUAAUGCCUGGAUGCAAUCACUCUAUGACACAGUUACACAUGCUUUCUGAUCUCAGUAUUUACCAUAAUAAAUCUGCUCCUAUAAUUGAGGCAUACCGCCCUCAAAAGCCUAUUUGUAAACAGGAUUGGACCCAGUUAGAAAAAAUCAACAUACUUGUUUAGGAAGAUUGCAUUGCAGAACAGGCAGAGGUGCUGCACAACAAUUCCUAUGGAAUCAUUAUUAACUGGUCCCCUAAGGGGAUGUUUAGCUUGAAUUGCUCCUCUCAGUCUGCGUGCCACGGUCACGCUAUGUUCAGAUAAUCUGAACAAAACGGUCAGAUGGUAGAAAUAAUAGAAGUAUGGCAAGAGUUCCUAUUAUCUGGAACCAUAUCGGUAUAGUGGCACCUCAUCCUCAAAUGAUAUGGCCCACUCUAGGAGCUUAACAUAAGGAUUUGUGGAAACUAUUAAAUGCACUUAAUAAGAUCAAAAUUUGGAAAAGAAUAAAAAAGCAUCUAGAAGGACACUCUACAAACUUGUCUUUGGAUAUUGCAAAAUUAAAGAAAAAAUAUUUAAAGUGUCCCAGGCACACCUGACCUUAAUGCCAGGAACUGGAGUCCUUAAAGGAGCUGCAGACAGAUUAGCAGCCAGUAACCCAUUAAAAUGGAUAAAAACACUUGGAAGCUCUGUGAUUUCAAUGAUGAUUGUGCUUUUAAUCUAUGUUGUUUAUCUUUGUGUAGUCUGCAGAUGUGGAUCCUGACUCCUGCAAGAAGUAGCUCACCAUGACAAAGCUGCCCUUGCUUUUAUUGAUUUGCAAAUCAAAUAAGGGGGACAUGUUGGGAGCAAGCCCCCCAAAAUCUGGCCAUAAACUGGCCCCAAAACUGGCCAUAGACAAAAUCUCUGCAGCACUGUGACAUGUUCAUGAUGGCCAUAAAGCUUAUGCUGGAAGGUUGUGGAUUUGCCAGAAUGAGGGCAAGGAACACCUGGCCCGCCCAGGGCAGAAAACUGCUUAAAGGCAUUCUUAAGCCACAAACAAUAGCAUGAAUGAUCUGUGCCUUAAGGACAUGCUCCUGCUGCAGUUAACUAGCCCAACCUGUUCCUUUAAUUCGGCCCAUCCCUUCAUUUCCCAUAAGGGAUACUUUUAGUUAAUUUAAUAUCUACAGAAACAAUGCUAAUGACUGGCUUGCUGUUAAUAAAUACGUGGGUAAAUCUCUGUUCGGGGCUCUCAGCUCUGAAGGCUGUGGGACCCCUGAUCUCCCAAUUCACACCUCUAUAUUUCUGUGUGUGUGUGUCUUUAAUUCCUCUAGUGCCGCUGAGUUAGGGUAUCCCCAACCAAGCUGGUCUCGACAUUUAGGGAACCUGGUCAUGGCUGGGUAUGGCAUGACCAUGAGCUUUGAAGGGGUGUAAAAACCUAGCACUUAUUCUUACCUCUUUUGGGUCUUUGAACCUGUAUUUACGGUAAUGCUGACUAGUGUUAACAGAUACAUUAUCUGUGUUCUAUCAUGGUAUAUGUAUAUGUCCCCUCCACAUCAAGUUAAAUUGGUGAAGAGGUCUGCAUCUAGUUACUAAGCAUCCCAGGCUGCCAUGGGAUUUUAUGAUUUUCAGGAUGUGGAUUCCAAGGGUGCUCUGUGUGUGAAUAUUCACCCACCAGAUGAAGAAAGAGAAGGAUAGAUUACCUCAUAGGAGUUUUAUAGGCUAAGCUGAAAGAGAUCUGCAUUAAUGGCCUAAAUUUUAUUAACGAGAACUGGAAGCACCUAAUUGCUAAGGAAGGUGAGGGAUGUAAUCUACCCGUGUGCCUAAGAAGAAAGGGAGCUAGAUUUCAGGAAUGCUUAGCAGCCUUUGCUGUAGACCUCAUUGAGAAAGGAAAGAAAGACCGUAUAUCCACCCAGUACCCAUCCCCCCAAAAUAUACAAACAGCAAGACAUAUGAGAAAAAUGCUGGUCAUUUUGGAGUUUUACAUCAUCCUUCAAGCCACAGUCCCUAGGAUAAAAACCACUGAUAUUCCAGUUUCUUAGAGAAAAGGAUCAGAUCCUAAGUGAUGGAUAUUUGCCAACAUCAUUUGAAAGCCUCUUUAGCCAUAAGCAGUACUUGGUUGCAGAGAUUGAGAAUUCAUCUUUGGGAAGAUAAGGGAGGGAAUUGCUACUGGCAUCACCUACAUAUGGCUGCCACCUGCUCAGCAUCUCCAGGGCUUACCCAGGGAUAUCAUUUUACUGGAACUUUUGGCACUUUUCCUCUACAAAUGAAUCAACAGUACAACCUAUAAUGUGGAAGAAGGAAACCCAAAUAGAAAACUGCAUGAGAUUGUCUACUCCUCACUGACAUUUGAAGAGCUGGGCAUACUUUGAUUCUUAGGAAUUUGGAGACCUAACCAUCCAGUCUCUGAGGUAUUUUAGAAUGGACCACUUGAAUAUCACACAGUAAGGAGUGGCAUCUGGAAUUCCAUGGGAAAGCACACAUCUGUACACACCAAAAAAGGUAUGUCUACUUGUAUUUUGAAUACCAUCUACUACAGAUUUUAUCAUUUUGUUCUGGUAAGUCAAAAACUUGUGGAAUUUCAGAUAUUUAAUUUUAUUUAUAAUCAAAUCCAUUAUGAAACCAUUGUCCCCUGACAUGUAUAUUUAUUACUCCUAUUAUUUUUUCAGAUUUUAUAUCUGAGAACUGCCUUUGCUGAGGAUGAGGGAAAGGUUUAUGGGAUGCCAUUUCCAGUCAACAUAUCUUCCACCUUUACUGCCUCCACAACUCAUACACUGCAACUCUCUGCCACUCGAAAUGUCUAACAAGCUUCCAAAACUAUAACUCACCAACAUUUAUCUUUGCAUUUGUUUUUUAAAAGUAUUUUUAAUUGGGGUAAAAUUUAUAUGCAGUAAAAUGUAUACUUUUUAGUGCAGUCACGUAACCACCACCAAAAUCAAGAUAUGGAACAGGUCCAUCACCCCAAAAAUUUUUUAAUACACCUUUGUAUUAAACCCUUUUUCCACCUCAAACAUAUGAAAAUUACUAAUCAUUUUCUUUCCCUUUAGUUUUGAAAUUUCCCAACAUUUCUGUAGUUUUUGAAUAUGGCACUUUUUAUUUAUUAGUGCACAUUUGAGGUUUAUCUUGGUUGUUGCAUUUAUCAGUGGUUCAUUCAUUUUAUCACUGAAUAGUAUUCCAUUUUACACAUGUGCUAUAGCUUGUUCAUCCAUUCAUCCACUGAAGGACGUUUGGGUUGUUUGUAGCUUUGGGUGAAUAUGAAUAAAGCCACUAUAAACAUUUGGCCACAGGUUUUUGCACCAACUUAUGUAAUAUAGUUUAGAUAUUUGUCCCAGCCCAAAUUUCAUGUUGAAUUGUAAUCUCCAUUGCUGGAGACAGUACCUGGUGGGAGGUGUAUGGAUCAUGGGAACGGAUCCCUCAUAGUUUGGUGCUGUCUUCAUGAUAAUGAGUUCUUGUGAGAGCUGGUUGUUUAAAAGUGUAUGGCACCUUCCCCACUCCACUUUCCCUCACUUGCUCCUGCUUUCGCCAUGUGACAUGCCUAUUUCCCUCUUGUCUCCCACCAUGAUUGUAAGCUUCUUGAUGCUUCCCUAGAAGCUGAGCAGAUGCCAGCACCAUGCCUCCCAUAAGGCUUGCAGACUUGUAAGCCAACUAAACAUUUGUUCUUUAUAAAUUAACAAGUCUCAGGUAUUUCUUUAUAGCAAUGCAAGAAUGGCCUAACACAGAAAAUUGGUACUGAAGAGUGGGACAUUGCUAUAAAGAUACUUGAAAAGGUGAAAACAACUUUGGAACUGGAUAACAGGCAGAGGUUGGAAGAGUUUGGAGAGCUCAGAAGACAUGAAGAUGAGAGAAAGUUUGGAACUUCUUAGAGACUCGUUAAAUGAUUGUGACCAAAAUGCUGAAAGUGAUAUGGACAGUGGAGUCCAGGCUGAUGAGGUCUCAGAUGGAAAUGAGGAACUUACUGGGGACUAGAGCAAAUGUCACGUGUUAUGCCGUAGCAAAUAACUUGGCUAUAAAGUGCCCUUGCCCUAGGAAUCUAUGUAAGUUUGAACUUCAUAUUGGUGAGUUAGGUUAUCUGGCAGAAGAAAUUUCUAAGUAGCAAAGUGUUCAAGACUUGACCUGGCUGCUUCUAACAACUUAUGCUCAUAUGUGGGAGUGAAUGAAUGAUCUAAAAUUGGAACUUAAAAGGGAAGCAGAGCACAAAAGUUUGGAAGAUUUGAAGCCUGGACAUGUGGCAGAGAAAGAAAAAGAUUUUUCAGGAGAGGAAUUCAAGCAGGCUGUGGAGCAACCACUUGGUAGAUAAAUUUCCAUAAGUAACAGGGAGCCAAGUAUGGAUAGCCAAGACAAGGGAAAAAGACACUGAAGGCAUUUCAGAGACCUUCAGUGCAGCCAUUCCCAACACAGGCAGAGAGGCCUCUUGGAAGGAAGAAAGGUUUCAUGGGUUUGGUCCAGGGCCCUGCUGCCCUGUUCAGCCCUGGGACAUUGUUCCCCACAUCCAGGCUGUUCUAGCUCCAGCCUUGUCUCAGAGGACUCCUGGUACUGCUCUGGCCACUGUUUCAGAAGGCACAAGCCAUAGGCCUGGAAGUUCCCAUGUGGUGUUAAGCCUAUGAGUGCACAGAGUGCAAGAAUGAAUGAGGCUUGGGAACUUCUGCCUAGAUUUCAGAGGAUGUAUGGGAAAGCCUGAGUGCCCAGGCAAAAGCCUACUACAGAAAACCUCACAAAAAACCUCUACCAGGGCAGUGUGGAGGGGAAAUGUAGGGUUAGAAACCCCACACAAAGUCCCCACUGGGGCACUGCCUGGUGGAGCUGUGGGAAGGGAGUCACUGACCUCCAGACCCCAGAAUGGUAGAUACACUGGUAGCUUGCACCCUACACAUGAAAAAGCUGCAGGCACUAAGCAACCCGUGAGAGCAGUCAACCGGAGUGGAGCUGUCCAGGGCUUUGGGAAUGCACCCCUUGUACCUCUGUGCUGUGCAUGUGGGAAAUGUAGUCAAAGAGCUUAUUUUGGAACUUUAAGAUUUAAUGAUUGCCCUGUUGGAUUUUGAACUUGUGUGGGGCCUGUAGCCCCUUUCUUUUUGACCUAUGUCUCCCUUUUGGAAUGGGAAUAUUUACCUAGUGAUUAUACUUGCAUGAUAAAAUAUCCUAGGAGUCAAAUAACUUGUUUUUGAUUUUAGAGGUUCAUAGGUGGAAAGGACUUGCCUCAUCUCAAAUGAGACUUUGGACUUUUGAGUUAAUGCUGGAAUGAGUUAAGACUUUGGAGGACUGUUGAGAAGGCAUAAUUAUACUUUGCAAUGUAAGAAGGACAUGAGAUUUGGGAGGGGCCAGGGAUGGAAUAAUAUAAUGUGAAUAUUUGUUACCACCCAAAUCUCAUUUUGGAAUUGUAAUCAUAGUGAUGGUGGGGCCUGGUGGGAGAUGUUUGGGUAAUGGGGGAAGGUCCCUCAUGGUUUGAUGCUGUCUUUGUGAUAGUUCUCAUGAGAUCGAAUAAUUUCAAAUGUGUGGCCCCUCCCCUGUCUCUCUCUCUCUCUCCCCCACCCCCAACUUGCUCCUGCUUUUUUCAUGUGACUUGCCUGCUCCCUCAUCAUCUUUUGCCACAACUGUAAGUUUCCUGAGGCCUUCCAAGAAAUUGAGCAGAUACCAGCGCUACGCUUCCUGUAAAGCCUACAAAACUGUGAGCCAAUUAAACCUCUUUUUUUUAUAAAUUACUCAGUCUCUCGUAUUUCUUUAUAUUGUAGUAAUGCAAAAAUGGCCUACCACUUUUAUGUUUUCACUUCAUUUGUGUAGUUAAUUGGUUGUAAGGUAAGCAUGUAGUUUAAUUUACAGGAAAAUAUCCAAAUAUUUUCCAAAGCAGGCAUAUAAUUUCGCAUCCCAGUAAUCAAAACUUAAGUUCUAGUAACUGUAUCUUUGCCAAGAUUUACUAUUGUCUUUCUUCUCCUGCCUCCGUAUUCUCAGAGGUGUGUAGUGGUAUCUCAUUAUGGUUUUAAUUUGCAUUAUCCUAAUGAUUAAUAAUAUAGAGCAUCAUUGCACACU